UGACCUUCCAGGAUGGAAGGGAUCUACAGGAGGCACUGCCACAAAAUAGCAACCAACAUCAUCAUCCAGUAGCCAGCUUCCUCCCAACAACCAUUAAUUCUGACAAAGAAUCCUUGACGGCAAACAUCAAUUUCAUUUCUCUGUCCACCAAUGAAGCGCAUCAGCCCUCUAAGGCACAUUGCUAGGACCAGCAGUGAGGUCCUGUGCACCCAGAGUAAGAAUCCAGGACCGAGGAGCAGUGCAGACUGCAAUUUCAUGAUCUCACAAGUCUGUCAAGGUGAGUUGCUCACAACUAAUUAAACUGUACUCUUGCAUGCACACACUUGCACCUCUCACACACAAACUGCUGCACCAUCUACACACCCACAAAUACCUUUAUCCUUCCUUGCAGCAGACAGCUCAGCACUAUUGACAUUGCAACCCCUCCAUCCCAAAUCGCGAUCCAAGCAUUCAAAAUUCUGAUAAUGAUAAGGUCAUUCCAUGCUAUUCAUCAUUAAGGCCAAGACAGCAAAGAACAGGAGGGAGUCACGGUUAUUCAGCCCAGAAACAGACUUUUGACCCAACAUAUCUAUGUGAGGGAAAUGUGAGGGAACAACCAUCGAGGGAAAUGUAUGGUUUUUGAUAAAGGAAGUUUGCAGAUGACACCAACAUUGAUGGUGUAGCUGUAGCAGACAAUGAAGAAGAUUGUCUAUGGGUACAACGCAAUAUUGAUUAAUUGGAAAGUUGGGCAAAGGAAUGGCAGAUGGAAUUUAACUUGGAAAAGUGCAAAGGGAUGUAUUUUUGGAAGUUAGACUAGGCCACAACUGAAUAGAUGAAGUGGUCUCAUUAAAUGUUGUUGAACAGAAAGAUCUACAAGUACAUACUUCGCUGGAAAUGGCAAUUCGGUAGACAGGGUGGAGAAGAAAGCAUAUGGCAUGCUCGGCACCAAGUACAAGAGUUGGAAGGUCAUGUUGCAGUCAUCUCAGUCACACACUUCUACAUGGUCAACAGAAUCCAGCUCCAAUUGCACAGAGCUGAUUCCAAGGAGAUGAAACCAGACAUAUGUGAUUCAGGGAUUAUUUCAUUGUGCCAGCUCCUGCUCUGGAAAUUGAGUCAUUUUUGUAGAGCAGUUUGAGUGACUCUUAGUCACCAAUCCACAUCCUACUACAGCCUCCCAGGCAGCACAUUCGCCCAUGCUCCCAGCCACCUAUACCACUCUGCACCUUCAUUUAACUCGCGUCAGCAAACUGAACC